GCAUGUGUCUGUGCUGUAGGGGGGACGAAGCCAUCCAAGUGAACCCCGAAGGGCCAAGACAGCAACACCCUUCAGAUGUCACUGCACGGCAGAGAUAAACGUAUUGAGAAUAUGCAAAACCUAAGGAAACAGAAGAGGAAACUUAGUAAACGGUUUACAAGACCUGCUCCUAUUCCAG